rnacentral:tRNA from 1 species
CAGUAGCUCAGUUGGAUAGAGCAACGGCCUUCUAAGCCGUGGGUCGGGGUUCGAAUCCCUCCUGG